rnacentral:rRNA from 1 species
GAUGAACGCUGGCGGCGUGCCUAAUACAUGCAAGUCGAGCGAACGGACGAGAAGCUUGCUUCUCUGAUGUUAGCGGCGGACGGGUGAGUAACACGUGGAUAACCUACCUAUAAGACUGGGAUAACUUCGGGAAACCGGAGCUAAUACCGGAUAAUAUUUUGAACCGCAUGGUUCAAAAGUGAAAGACGGUCUUGCUGUCACUUAUAGAUGGAUCCGCGCUGCAUUAGCUAGUUGGUAAGGUAACGGCUUACCAAGGCAACGAUGCAUAGCCGACCUGAGAGGGUGAUCGGCCACACUGGAACUGAGACACGGUCCAGACUCCUACGGGAGGCAGCAGUAGGGAAUCUUCCGCAAUGGGCGAAAGCCUGACGGAGCAACGCCGCGUGAGUGAUGAAGGUCUUCGGAUCGUAAAACUCUGUUAUUAGGGAAGAACAUAUGUGUAAGUAACUGUGCACAUCUUGACGGUACCUGAUCAGAAAGCCACGGCUAACUACGUGCCAGCAGCCGCGGUAAUACGUAGGUGGCAAGCGUUAUCCGGAAUUAUUGGGCGUAAAGCGCGCGUAGGCGGUUUUUUAAGUCUGAUGUGAAAGCCCACGGCUCAACCGUGGAGGGUCAUUGGAAACUGGAAAACUUGAGUGCAGAAGAGGAAAGUGGAAUUCCAUGUGUAGCGGUGAAAUGCGCAGAGAUAUGGAGGAACACCAGUGGCGAAGGCGACUUUCUGGUCUGUAACUGACGCUGAUGUGCGAAAGCGUGGGGAUCAAACAGGAUUAGAUACCCUGGUAGUCCACGCCGUAAACGAUGAGUGCUAAGUGUUAGGGGGUUUCCGCCCCUUAGUGCUGCAGCUAACGCAUUAAGCACUCCGCCUGGGGAGUACGACCGCAAGGUUGAAACUCAAAGGAAUUGACGGGGACCCGUACAAGCGGUGGAGCAUGUGGUUUAAUUCGAAGCAACGCGAAGAACCUUACCAAAUCUUGACAUCCUUUGACAACUCUAGAGAUAGAGCCUUCCCCUUCGGGGGACAAAGUGACAGGUGGUGCAUGGUUGUCGUCAGCUCGUGUCGUGAGAUGUUGGGUUAAGUCCCGCAACGAGCGCAACCCUUAAGCUUAGUUGCCAUCAUUAAGUUGGGCACUCUAAGUUGACUGCCGGUGACAAACCGGAGGAAGGUGGGGAUGACGUCAAAUCAUCAUGCCCCUUAUGAUUUGGGCUACACACGUGCUACAAUGGACAAUACAAAGGGCAGCGAAACCGCGAGGUCAAGCAAAUCCCAUAAAGUUGUUCUCAGUUCGGAUUGUAGUCUGCAACUCGACUACAUGAAGCUGGAAUCGCUAGUAAUCGUAGAUCAGCAUGCUACGGUGAAUACGUUCCCGGGUCU